rnacentral:tRNA from 1 species
AGCUCAGUGGUCUACGCGUAUGAUACUCGCUUGGGGUGCGAGAGUGGCCCAGGUUUCGCAUCCUGGCCGAGCCC